ensembl:lncRNA
UAGUGGCUCUUGGUGGCUCUCAAUGGCUCCCAGUAGCUCGAAGUGGCCCCUCUUAGCUCUUGGUGGCUCCCAAUGGCUCCCAAUGGCUCCCAGUAGCUCCCAGUAUCCCCUCUUAGCUCUUAGUGGCUCUUGGUGGCUCUCAAUGGCUCCCAAUGGCUCCCACUACCUCUGAGUGGCCGAGUGGGGGGUGGGAGAGCACCCUAACACUCCAUGCUUCCUGCAGCCAUCAUCCCAGCAUCUCACGUUGGGUUUGGGGGCACCUCUUGGGACCAGGUCUCAUCCUUCCCCCCCCCACCAUGGCCCCGUCCUGCUGCAGGGAGAGCAAUAACAGUUCCAGGCAGAACAUCAGUGCCUUUCUUUGAGUUUGGAAGUGAUUGCUUCUCGUUCCAGCUCGGGAAUCACUUUUGGAGUCACUUUUCAUCUCCAGAUACUCAGAAGCAAAGUGAAAGAGAGCCCAGAAGGAUCCCGUGCCAUCAUCAGAGUAAUUUUCAAGUACCCCGUUGUGGUUCCCAGUGCCUUAUUGCCACCCUGGAUCCAACAAGAGGUAUCGUGGUUCAUCUCACUCUUCUCCUCCUCUGCCUCCCUCCCCGGGACUCACUCACAGAAUCCCCCAUCUUGGGGGUGGUACCCCAUACCCUCGGGGUGCUCACAUCGUCCCCAUGUCCCCAAAGUGCUCACCCCAUCCCUAUGUCCCCAGAAUGCUCACAGCAUCACCCAUCCUGGGGUGCUCACACCAUCCCCAUGUCCCCAAGGUCCUCACACCAUCGCCCAUCUUGGGGUGCUCACACCAUCCCCAUGAUCCUGGGGUCCUCACACCAUCACCCAUCUUGGGGUGCUCACACCAUCCCCAUGAUCUUGGGGUGCUCACAUCACCCCCAUGUCCCCGAAUGCUCACACCAUCCCCUAUCUUGGGGUGCUCACACCAUCCCCAUGUCCCCAAGGCCCUCAAACCAUCCCCCAUCUUGGGGUGCUCACAUCACCCCCAUGUCCCC